AGGUACACUCCUCUUCCCCGCCACUCCUCCCUCUUCACUCCUCCCCCCUUCUCCAAAACAACACCCAGGGGCGGCUAGUCAUGGGAAAGCCCAGGCGCCAUACCAGUGUCUGGACUUUAGCAGAGCUGACGAAGAGUUUUAUAACACAACAGAGGGAGGUCACUUCUAGGGCUGUGGCAGUCAUUACAUUUUGUCAGCCGGUUCUUGUCAUGGAAAUAACUGCUGGUCUCACGGUAAUUGACCGUUAAUCACAGUUUUUUUUUUCUGAAUGCUUAAACACUAACAGUGAUUCUUGAAGCACUAUCUCUGAAACCAUUAACACUUGUAGCCAAUGAAUGCAAUUACCAAGUGUGCCAAACUGAAUGCAUGUUCUCUGCUUUACACUCAGUUUGUAAUUUUAUAACAGACUUUUUGCAAAACUGUAAAACAUAACUCACUGCUGUACACUCAGUUUGCAAUUUAAUAACACACUUCUAGCAAAACUGUAAACAUUGGUCUGUACAUGAAUACAUUAUUUCGCCAAUUGCCUUUCCACAUUGACACAUGAAAAAACUUUUAGAUAACGAGUUAACUUACAAAUCAGAGCUUGAGCACUAUAAAUAGGCCACAGGUAAACAUUUGGAUUGGACAACGAUGGAGGCCAAUAUUGGACGGAGAGUAAGAGGGGUGAGAACUAGAGGAGGACGAGGAGGAGGAAGAAGAGGACGAGGAGAACGAGGAGGUGAAGAAGUAAGAGGAGGAGGAGAGGGAAGAGGUGAAGUAAGACGGGGAGAAGAAGAGGAGGGGAAGAGGAAGGGGAGUCAGGUACGCAAUAACUGAUGAAAUAGAGCGACUGUGGUUGACCAUGUUGUCAACCAUGGGAUGAGCAUGAGGGAGGCUGGGCAACAGGUUCAACCAAAUCUGAGCCGCUAUACUGUUGCAUGUAUCAUCUGGAUAUUUCGAAAUGAGAACCGAACUGUAAGAAAACCAGUAUCUGGUGGAAGAGGUCAACUGUUCACCCCAGAGCAGGAGACCCACAUUGUAAAUAUAGCCACUGCAAAUAACUGCAUCAGACUCAGAGAACUGCAGGACCAAAUAAUUGUAGAUAACACCAUAUUCCUAAACAUCAACAGAGUGAGUCUCUGCACUGUCUCGUCUACUGAAACGCAAUAUAAUUAGGAUGAAGCAGUUGUACAGAGUCCCUUUCGAAAGAAACUCAGACCGUGUAAAACAACUGAGAUAUGAACAUGUGCAGGUAAGCUAUACUAUCCUAUCAUUGGUACUGGAUCUGGAAGUGUAUGGUGCUACAUCAUAUUGACUGUUCCCUGUCUUUUCGUACUGUGCUACAUUGUUUUGUCUUGUCUCUUUCUGAGAGUCAUGGAGCUAGAAGCAGAUGCUACCGUCUCUUACUGUUAAGACCUUCUGGACAUCAGAAGUGGGAUUAUUCACCUCAAAUUGAACGAGGAGUUCUUCUUCAAUGAGUCGGACAUGAAGGAAAUACUACAGACACCCGACCAGGCCCAGAUCCCCGUGAUUCGCUGGGGAAGGAAACUGAGAUUUUGAGGCAAAAGAUCAGGGUGCCUUGCGAGGAUCAGGCGACGAGUCGCUAAUCUGCCCUUGCCCUCCGUUCUGCUAGAUAACGUUCAAUCGCUGGAAAAUAAAUGUGAGGAACUGAAAGAAUAUACAGUUUUUCUGUUAUUUUUUUUCUAGAACAAAUGUUUUUGUUUUCUUCUACUGCGCUUUUGUUGUUUGAGGAGUGUUGGAACAUUUUGACAUUUUUUUUGUAUUGAUAGUGUGUUAUGUUCGGAAUACACAUCCAUACUUUACACAUUUGGAUACCUAUGUGUAUGUGUGUAUACUACAUGUAUGACAAAACUUUACUGCAAACUGCUAUGCCCUGCUGACAGAAAAAGCUAAAGCCACAAGUGUUUUUCCUUUAUACUAUCAGUGCAUAGUUGGUGCUUUGUGUGCUUCUUCAAAUGAUGGUUUGUGUCUACAGUAUUGACGCAAAAACUUUGAUUUUUUUAAGAGUUUUGCAAGAAUUUUUUGCUUUUGCAAGAGAUGUAAAAUGUUUUGCUGGUUUGAUGUAAUGUUUUGUGAUUAGUGUGUAGAGUUUUAAAGAUAAUGCCCAAGCAAUCAGAAAAAACUGUAGCAUAAACAUAUUUAGCAUCUCCUGGCUUCCAUGCAUAGCAUAAAAGCCCCUGAUGCAGACCUUUGGAACAUCUACAUUUUAAAAAAAUCUAAUAAA